CAACGUUAUUGGUAUAUUUUAUUAGACGAUGAUCUAGUCGACGCAGAAGUAAGAGACGACGAGCUUUGUUUGAUUGAUCUUACAAAGUUGGAAAACGACUCUAGCGAGGGGAUGUGGGAAGAUUCUAAAGAGAUCUCUUUUUCACAAUCACAGUUUGAUGUUUCUUUUACGCCUCUGGCACGCUGGUUGGUCUUAACCGAGCGUUCGACGGCAUCACACCUCCCGCCAAAACGUUCCGAUGAAGUCUACAUCGAAGACCAGCUUGCGGAGGAGGAGGAGGAAGUUUUAACCCCGCAAAAGAGUCCUGCCAUUGAAGA